rnacentral:rRNA from 1 species
UACGUAGGGGGCAAGCGUUAUUCGGAUUUACUGGGUGUAAAGGGAGCGUAGACGGCAGGGCAAGUCUGGAGUGAAAGGCAGGGGCCCAACCCCUGGACUGCUCUGGAAACUGUCCGGCUGGAGUGCAGGAGAGGUAAGUGGAAUUCCUAGUGUAGCGGUGAAAUGCGUAGAUAUUAGGAGGAACACCAGUGGCGAAGGCGGCUUACUGGACUGUAACUGACGUUGAGGCUCGAAAGCGUGGGGAGCAAACAGG